rfam:Felis catus isolate Cinnamon breed Abyssinian chromosome A2, whole genome shotgun sequence.
UCCUGGGUGGCUCAGUAGGUUGAGCAUCUGACUUCAGCUCAGGUCAUGAUCUCGUAGUUUGUGAGUUCGAGCCCCACGUCAGGCU